AACCAAAAAACACAAAGUAGUUGGCCAAGGAUAUAUAAUAAAGAUACACGAACAUGGGCUAACAUGGACCAGGGGCUACUUUCAUCACAUUGCAAGAAAUCCCAUUCGCAGGUGAGCCAUGCAAUCCUUCUGGAUUACACAUAAGGUCCUCCUUUGGUUGCAACUAUUUUAGUACCUGUCAUCAUCUGUGUGGCAUUCUCUGCUUUUGUUUCCAUUUUUUGUUGUAGAAAAAACAGUGGUUAGAUAGUCCAAACAGGAAGCAAGCAUGAAGCAUUACACCAGCAAAAAUAUCCGCUUGUGGUUCCUGCACAAAGCAGAUGACAUCCUGGAGUAGAAAGCUACCCACUUCCUUUCUGUAGAUCGUUUUCACUGACACCAUAAGUUAUCCAAUCUUUUAAGAAAUAAGGAAAAGUCAUCUCCAAGAUAUAUAUUUCAACAAGUCUAUGUUGUAAUAUCAUUUAAAACUGAGGCACUACAAUUUAUCAAAUUUAUCUCUUUUCAAGACCUGCAAGUAGUGAACAAACUUCCACUGAUAUGCAAGACUGGUUGCAAGUUGCAACUACAUCAUCUGAUCGAGUCCAGCGACUAGGAGUAGCUGAUGACAUAUAUUUUGAUACUUGGUCUUACCACUACUAUGUCUAUGUGCGAUACAGUUUCAGUCAAUGUCUCUACACUACCUUACUACCAGAAACGCGUUAAACAGCUAAUAACAAUCUUAACACUACUACCAAUCAAUGCGCUAACAUGUGUAGAUUAAGCAAAGCAUGCAUGACCAGGCAUUAAAAUCCCAGUUCAGACGACCUAGCAAUCUACCUGCAGCUUUUUUUCUCUACUAAAAAAGAAAUCUUUCUGUUAGGGGUUGUAGCUGUACAUACUAGGGAUACUUUAUUAUUACAGAGGAAGCAUGAUAGUUGUCCAUUCUGUUGGACAUGUACGCAGCAACUAGGCAUAUAUGAUAUGAUCGAUAUAUCCUUGUACAGCAGUACAGGAGAGGGCGGCACAGCUCAUCUAAACUUGCACUGGGGACACAUUCAAGUGAUGAAAUGAAGAAGAAGCUCUUUUUAGUUCUUCCAGCCAGUCCUAAACAUGCAUGAUACAACAACUCAUUGACCUGUUAUAUUUAUUUGCAAGCUGUCAUGGCUGAUGGUUGAGUUGAGCACUCCACUGACUGGUAUGUGGUGACUACUGACUACCAAACUGCCAAGAACCAUAGGAAAAUAACCUCAUGCCAUGUCAAAUUCUCCAUCUUAAAUUCAGUGGCUUUGUUAGUUGCACUGUUAAGCACAGCAAUUAGUGCAGUUUCUGCCACAAGAAACGGCAAAAUUUACUUUUCAGAUACUAGUAGAUUGUUUGAGCCCCACAAGUUGGCAGUGUGAGGUCACAAGUUUAUCAUCACUGUGGCGUCCAUGUCAUGCCACUAUCACCUCCAAAAGCUUACAUCCGAAUCAUACAAAAUUUUCAGUUCCUCCAAUCAUCUUUUCCGCAUUAUUUAUGUCGAUGUCUCCAACUUUUGCUCAUACAUGAGCAAAGACCAAGUUUAUCAGCCUUUUUGACCAACCGGCCGGCCGCCGGCGCCGGCGCCGGCGAGCCGGCCGGUAGCCUUCCUGUCGCCAUGCCGGCCGGGGCCAGUUGGAUUUUCUUCAUGCCAACCUCACCUGCAAAAAAUGUAUGCAUCGUGGUGGCCUGGCCUGGAAUGGACUGGACCAAGCUGGUAGAACAGCAGGGGUGGUGUCACCGGCACACCUCAUCUAGUAGAACAGCAGUCAGUUGGUAUUUGGGCAUCAGAGUUUGGUGCCUACUUCUACUAGUAGCCAGCUACUGGCUACUGCAUCAUGUACGUGCAGGGAUUCUCUGUGCCUGUAUCCCAGACAAGAGGAGGCUGUGUGGCCAUUGGGUGAGACAAUUCUGCAUGCAAUGUAACAUUGUAUUGCAUGGCUUUGUUAUCAUCAGGCAAGAACUGUGCCUGUUCUCUAAUCCAUAUAUGCUGCAGAGGAGCCAGUUUUCAGGUAGGUGGAUUAACACAUCAACAACAGGCAUGUUUGUUAUGGUCUUAUGGAGGCAGGCAUGUGCCUUGCAUAAUGUAAUGGCAUGGAAUUCUUCUCUCAUGUGUGGAUUAUGCACCCAAUCAUUGGCCAACCAAUCAACCUCUCUUUAUGUGUUUAUAUGCUAUGUGUUUUGGGCUUUUGGCAAGGGAAUCUCUACAGCCAGUCAUGCAAAGUGAGUAAACAAUGGAAGAAGCCUGAAACCCUAUGCAAUGGAAUUCAAUGCUGCAGCUGCAGAAGGCUGUAUGUAUGUUAGUUUGCCAUGGCACCCAACCGGUGACUGGUGAAGAUAGAGAGAUCUCAUUGUUGCUUGCUUCUUUUUUCACUUUUGCUUUUUAGGCUCAAGUACCCUCCAGUAAAUUUUGCUCUUCUUUUUGUGCACCCUUUCAGGUGUUUGGAUGGAUGCAGCCCUCUUUCUUGGCAUCCUCCUACCUUUGACCUCACCUCCCAGCAUCGGAUGCGCUGUAAAAAGGAGAGGCUAAAAGAAACCAAUCAGUUAUAAUGCCUUUUCUUGUAUGAUCCUGAAAAGCACAAUUCUAUAUUCAGUGAACCUCAUAAUAAGAGCCACUGUCGGUCACACUAGAACAUACUAAACCCUAAAUUACAUUUCAUAGAUGAAUCAAUGGCAAUGAAAAACGCGCUAUUUAGCGUGGUC
rnacentral:lncRNA from 1 species